AGUGAACGCUGGCGGUAGGCCUAACACAUGCAAGUCGAACGGCAGCACAGUAAGAGCUUGCUCUUACGGGUGGCGAGUGGCGGACGGGUGAGGAAUACAUCGGAGUCUACUUUUUCGUGGGGGAUAACGUAGGGAAACUUACUCUAAUACCGCAUACGACCUACUGGUGAAAGCAGGGGAUCUUCGGACCUUGCGCGAUUGAAUGAGCCGAUGUCGGAUUAGCUGGUUGGCGGGGUAAAGGCCCACCCAGGCGACGAUCCGUAUCUGGUCUGAGAGGAUGAUCAGCCACACUGGAACUGAGACACGGUACAGACUCCUACGGGAGGCAGCAGUGGGGAAUAUUGGACAAGGGGCGAAAGCCUGAUCCAGCCAUACCGCGUGGGUGAAGAAGGCCUUCGGGUUGUAAAGCCCUUUUGUUGGGAAAGAAAAGCAGCAGGUUAAUACCCCGCUGUUCUGACGGUACCCAAAGAAUAAGCACCGGCUAACUUCGUG
rnacentral:rRNA from 1 species